rnacentral:rRNA from 1 species
GAUGAACGCUGGCGGCGUGCCUAAUACAUGCAAGUCGAACGAGCGAGAUCCAGCUUGCUGGAUUUAGCGAGUGGCGAACGGGUGAGUAAUACGUAAGCAACCUGCCUACACGGACUGGGAUAACACCUGGAAACGGGCGCUAAUACCGGAUAGGUAAUGAGAAGGCAUCUUCUUAUUAUUAAAGGUUUGAAACACAAGUAGAUGGGCUUACGGUGCAUUAGCUAGUUGGUGAGGUAACGGCCCACCAAGGCGAUGAUGCAUAGCCGGCCUGAGAGGGUGAACGGCCACAUUGGGACUGAGACACGGCCCAGACUCC